UUUUUUUUUUUUUUUUUGGAAAGUAAGGAAGGAGCUGAGAAAAAAGAAAGGUAUAUUAGAAAACUAAAGAAAGCUUGAAGAAACUAAGGCUUAACUUGAGGACAUCAGGACUUGCAAUGCUUGAAGACAUGGAUUUCCAGAAGAAGAUUCAUUUUAUGAUUACCAAAUUUUAUACAUAUAUCAAACAAAAUUCUAGAAUGGCGUGUCACUCACCUCCUUGUGCUGAAGCAAGCUGAUAAGCUUAAUGCAAGGUGGCGGGCAUAAUAUCUCCUAAUUUUGCUGAAGCAGAAAAAUGCAAGGUAGUAGCCAGGUGGCCUCCAAAAUGUGCUGAAAGUAGGAUAGCAGGUGUAACACAAAGAAGUUGCCACCUCAAUCAUAACAAGUGACAGCUAGGAGGACAAGAUGGUGGCUAGGGAUGGGAAUCAGUAGGUAUGGCUGGGGAAGUAGCUAAGUUAAAAUUUUACAGCAUUAGAGGGUUUGACAUGCAUGACCAUAUUUUUGUUUGGGGUUACACAGUUUACUUAUGUUACAAAAAAAGGGAGUUAGGUUACUGUCUUUGUGUUACAUGCUUCAAUCAUACGCUACACCCUCUUUAAUUAGAGUUAAUUCCUUUAACUUACAUAACAGCUUACUGAUUUUAAGUUACACAGGUACAACGUUAGGGUAAUCAUCCAUGGUUUUAUUGAAGCAUCAAGAUCUGUUCUUAAGUUUAUAGCACUUGUUAAUCAAGCUACGAAGCGCAAUACAUGGAAUGUCAUGGGAUUUGACUAUCCUAAAGGUAGACCCAAAAUACAACACAAUCGUGAAACAAGGCACAAGCUGUGCAAAUAAGCUACAUAUGACGACUUGAUAAUGCUACUAGAUCACUAAAAGUUCUUCCAAAGACAUGUACACAAUAUGUAAAAAGUCUACACGAGUCUCAUUUAUUCCCAUCAUUCUUGUUGUCUUCCCUCUUCAUCUUGCCAUUGGCAAAAGACACAAUGGCUUGUAGAUUGAGCACAUGUAGUUGCACUUGUUUUAAAAGUAUAGCAAUCAUAACAUAAAUAAGAAAACACACAAAGGAACUUAGUUACGAGCUUUGUUAAAUAUGUGUUCAAAAAUUGUUGUUUCCUUUUUAAAAUCUUUUGGCUUGUAAGGAGGUUCCGUAAUUCCAACCAAUAAGACGAAUAUUUUUCGAUCCCCUUUUCUGUAAUCUCUUAUUUGGCCAGCAAAACUUAAAAUAAAUAUCAUGCUUACAGAUUGACUUUUUUAACAUCUUUUUUGGCCUAUUUAUUGCCCGUCUUUUGCUUUUUGACACAAACAACAAAAGUUUAAAUACGAGGAGUUAAGCAAAAUGAAAACCUUACUAUUUGAGAUAUUAUCUUUUCAACUUGUAUUGAUUUAUCCUCUUGUUGCAAUCCUUUCAUCUUGGCACGCCUACUACAUUAUUCACCUGCAAAAGAAUAAAUUAAAAUUUUCAUUGUUCUUUCCUGUUAAUACAACUUAAAAGAUUGUUAAAUGUAACA